GACGAACGCUGGCGGCGUGCUUAACACAUGCAAGUCGAGCGGAAAGGCGCUGCUUUUGUGCCGUGCUCGAGUGGCGAGGGGGUGAGUGACACGUGAGUAUCCUCCCCUUGUAUUUGUGAUAAAUUCACGAGACUGGGGCUAAUACCGGAUAGGAGAUCCUGCUGCAUGUUGGGGGAUGGAAAGAGUCGGCGGUUUGGGAUGGACUAGCGGCUUAUCAGCUUGUUGGGGUGGUAGGGGCUUACCAAGGCUAUGACGGGUAGGCGGCAUGAGAGGGUGACCGGGGACAAUGGGACUGCGAGACGGCGCAGACGCCUACGGGCGGCAGCAGUGGGGAAUAUGGCGGAAUGGGCGGAAGCCUGAGGCAGCAACGCCGCGUGCGGGAUGCCGGCCUUCUGGGUGUAAACCGCUUUCGCCGGUGACGAAGAGUGAGUGACGGUAACGGGUAAAGAAGCACCGGCUAACUACGUG
rnacentral:rRNA from 1 species